AUUGAACGCUGGCGGCAGGCUUAACACAUGCAAGUCGAGCGAGCGGCGGACGGGUGAGUAAUGUCUGGGAAACUGCCUGAUGGAGGGGGAUAACUACUGGAAACGGUAGCAAAUACCGCAUACCAUCAGAUGUGCCCAGAGGGGAUUAGCGAGUAGGUGGGGUAAUGGCUCACCUAGGCGACGAUCCCUAGCUGGUCUGAGAGGAUGACCAGCCACACGGGAACGGAGACACGGUCCAGACUCCUACGGGAGGCAGCAGUGGGGAGUAUUGCACAAUGGGCGAAAGCCGGAUGAAGCCAUGCCGCGUGUGUUAAGAAGGCCUUCGGGUUGUAAAGCGCUUUCAGCGAGGAGGCGUUACUCGCAGAAGAAGCACCGGCUAACUCCGUGCCAGCAGCCGCGGUAAUAC
rnacentral:rRNA from 1 species